rnacentral:rRNA from 1 species
GACGAACGCUGGCGGCGUACUUAACACAUGCAAGUCGAACGGUAAGGCCCUUCGGGGUACACGAGUGGCGAACGGGUGAGUAACACGUGGGUGAUCUGCCCUGCACUUCGGGAUAAGCCUGGGAAACUGGGUCUAAUACCGGAUAGGACCCUGGGAUGCAUGUCCCGGGGUGGAAAGAUUUUGCGGUGUGGGAUGGGGCCGCGGCCUAUCAGCUUGUUGGUGGGGUGAUGGCCUACCAAGGCGACGACGGGUAGCCGGCCUGAGAGGGUGACCGGCCACACUGGGACUGAGAUACGGCCCAGACUCCUACGGGAGGCAGCAGUGGGGAAUAUUGCACAAUGGGCGCAAGCCUGAUGCAGCGACGCCGCGUGAGGGAUGACGGCCUUCGGGUUGUAAACCUCUUUCAGCACCGACGAAGCGCAAGUGACGGUAGGUGCAGAAGAAGGACCGGCCAACUACGUGCCAGCCGCCGCCGUAA